rnacentral:rRNA from 1 species
GAUGAACGCUAGCGGCAGGCCUAAUACAUGCAAGUCGGACGGGAUUCGGUGCUUCGGCACCGAUGAGAGUGGCGCACGGGUGCGUAACGCGUGAGCAACCUGCCCAUUUCAGGGGGAUAGCCCGGAGAAAUCCGGAUUAAGCCCGCAUAUGAUCACGGUGCCGCAUGGCGGAGUGAUGAAAUAUUUAUAGGAAAUGGAUGGGCUCGCGUGACAUUAGCUAGUUGGUAGGGUAACGGCCUACCAAGGCGACGAUGUCUAGGGGCUCUGAGAGGAGAAUCCCCCACACUGGUACUGAGACACGGACCAGACUCCUACGGGAGGCAGCAGUAAGGAAUAUUGGUCAAUGGAGGGAACUCUGAACCAGCCAUGCCGCGUGCAGGAAGACGGCCCUACGGGUUGUAAACUGCUUUUGCACGGGAAUAACCCUCAUUAUGAAUA